CUGAAAUCGAUUUGUUCGGAGAUAGGGUUCCAUGGCUGGUAGAGCUCGGCACUUCUGCCGAGUCCGGUGCGUCCUCGACGGCCCUUGAAAAUCCUGGGGAGCAAACAUUUCACGCCUGGUCGUACUGAUAACCGCAGCAGGUCUCCAAGGUUAACAGCCUCUAGUUGAUAGAAUAAUGUGGAUAAGGGAAUUCGGCAAAAUGGAUCCGUAACUUCGGGAUAAGGAUUGGCUCUAAGGGUUGGGUAUAUCGGGCCCUGGCGGGAAGCCGCUGAUGCUGGACUGGACUGCUGUGUGGCAACAUGCGGUGGACCGGACCGGCGUCGGCGUGUGGACGGCCAGGGCAGUCCCUCGGGACGGCCGGUGUACGCUUAACAACCAGCUUAGAACUGGUACGGACAAGGGGAAUCUGACUGUCUAAUUAAAACAUAGCAUUGCGAUGGCCAGAAAGUGGUGUUGACGCAAUGUGAUUUCUGCCCAGUGCUCUGAAUGUCAAA
rnacentral:rRNA from 13 species